rnacentral:rRNA from 1 species
CCUACGGGAGGCAGCAGUGGGGAAUUUUGGGCAAUGGGCGCAAGCCUGACCCAGCAACGCCGCGUGAAGGAAGAAGGCUUUCGGGUUGUAAACUUCUUUUGUCAGGGACGAAGCAAGUGACGGUACCUGACGAAUAAGCCACGGCUAACUACGUGCCAGCAGCCGCGGUAAUACGUAGGUGGCAAGCGUUAUCCGGAUUUACUGGGAGUAAAGGGCGUGUAGGCGGGGAAGCAAGUCAGAUGUGAAAACCACGGGCUCAACCUGUGGCCUGCAUUUGACACUGUUUUUCUUGAGUACUGGAGAGGCAGACGGAAUUCCUAGUGUAGCGGUGAAAUGCGUAGAUAUUAGGAGGAACACCAGUGGCGAAGGCGGUCUGCUGGACAGCAACUGACGCUGAGGCGCGAAAGCGUGGGGAGCAAACAGGAUUAGAUACCCCGGUAGUC